AUUGAACGCUGGCGGCAGGCCUAACACAUGCAAGUCGAGCGAGCGGCGGACGGGUGAGUAAUGUAUGGGGACUGCCCGAUAGAGGGGGAUAACUACUGGAAACGGUGGCUAAUACCGCAUACUAUCGGAUAACCCAUAUAGGAUUAGCUAGUAGGUGGGGUAAAGGCUCACCUAGGCGACGAUCUCUAGCUGGUCUGAGAGGAUGAUCGGCAAGACGGGGACUGAGACACGGCCCAGACUCCUACGGAGGAGGCAGUGGGGAAUAUUGCACAAUGGGAGCAAGCCGAAUGCAGCCAUGCCGCAGGUAUGAAGAAGGCCUUAGGGUGAUAGAGUACUUUCAGUGGGGAGGCGUUACCCGCAGAAGAAGCACCGGCUAACUCCGUGCCAGCAGCCGCGGUAAUUC
rnacentral:rRNA from 1 species